CACGUAGGGCGCAAGCGUUGUCCGGAAUUAUUGGGCGUAAAGAGCUCGUAGGCGGUCUGUUACGUCUGCUGUGAAAACCCAGGGCUUAACCCUGGGCUGCAGUGGAUACGGGCAGACUAGAGGCAGGUAGGGGAGAAUGGAAUUCCCGGUGUAGCGGUGAAAUGCGCAGAUAUUGGGAGGAACACCAGUGGCGAAGGCGGCUCACUGGACCGGUACUGACGCUGAUGCGCGAAAGCGUGGGG
rnacentral:rRNA from 1 species